rnacentral:misc_RNA from 1 species
GAUGAAGAACGCAGCGAAAUGCGAUAAGUAGUGUGAAUUGCAGAAUUCAGUGAAUCAUCGAAUCUUUGAACGCACAUUGCGCCCCUUGGUAUUCCAUGGGGCAUGCCUGUUCGAGCGUCAUUUGUACCUUCAAGCUUUGCUUGGUGUUGGGUGUUUGUCUCGCCUUUGCGUGUAGACUCGCCUUAAAAUAAUUGGCAGCCGGCGUAUUGAUUUCGGAGCGCAGUACAUCUCGCGCUUUGCACUCAUAACGACAGCGUCCAAAAUUACAUUUUACACUCUUGACCUCGGAUCAGGUAGGGAUACCCGCUGAACUUAAGCAUAUCAAUAAGCGGAGGA